rnacentral:tRNA from 1 species
UGGCGCAGCCUGGUAGCGCGCCUGCUUUGCAAGCAGGAGGUCGCGGGUUCAAAAACCCGU